rnacentral:rRNA from 1 species
UGAGGAAUAUUGGUCAAUGGGCGAGAGCCUGAACCAGCCAAGUAGCGUGAAUGUUAAGCCCUUCGGGGUGUAAAGUUCUGUCAGUAGGGACGAAUUUUGACUGUACCUACAAAGGAAGCACCGGCUAACUCCGUGCCAGCAGCCGCGGUAAUACGGGGGGUGCAAGCGUUGUCCGGAAUCAUUGGGCGUAAAGCGUUCGUAGGCGGUAUAUCAAGUCUGGUGUUAAAGCCCGGGGCUCAACUCCGGUUCAGCAUCGGAUACUGGUAAACUAGAAUGCGGUAGAGGUAAGGGGAAUUCCUGGUGUAGCGGUGAAAUGCGUAGAUAUCAGGAGGAACAUCGGUGGCGAAAGCGCCUUACUGGGCCGUUAUUGACGCUGAGGAACGAAAGCCGGGGGAGCAAAUG